rnacentral:rRNA from 1 species
UACGGAGGGUGCAAGCGUUAAUCGGAUUUACUGGGCGUAAAGCGCGUGUAGGCGGGCGACUAAGUCGGAUGUGAAAUCCCUGGGCUCAACCUAGGAACUGCAUUCGAAACUGGUCACCUAGAGUGAUGGAGAGGAAAGCGGAAUUCCCGGUGUAGAGGUGAAAGUCGUAGAUAUCGGGAGGAACACCAGUGGCGAAGGCGGCUUUCUGGACAUUUACUGACGCUGAGACGCGAAAGCGUGGGGAGCAAACAUG